AACCGCCACCGUCUCAGCCUGAAGGCGCCCGAUCUCGUCUGAUCUCGGAAGCUAAGCAGGGGUCGGGCCUGGUUAGUAUCUUCGAUGGGAGACCACCUGGGAAUCCCGGGUGCUCGAGGCUU
rnacentral:rRNA from 1 species